rnacentral:rRNA from 1 species
GGGUUGUGAGGUUAAGCGAACAAGCGUACACGGUGGAUGCCCUGGCAGUCAGAGGCGAUGAAGGACGUGCUAAUCUGCGAAAAGCGCCGGUAAGGUGAUAUGAACCGUUAUAACCGGCGAUGUCCGAAUGGGGAAACCCGGUGCACUUCGGUGCAUCAUCGUUAGCUGAAUACAUAGGCUAACGAGGCGAACCGGGGGAACUGAAACAUCUAAGUACCCCGAGGAAAAGAAAUCAACCGAGAUUCCCCCAGUAGCGGCGAGCGAACGGGGAACAGCCCAGAGCCUGAAUCAGCUUGUGUGUCAGUGGAACGGUCUGGAAAGGCCGGCGAUACAGGGUGACAGCCCCGUACACGAAGGCACACAGGCUGUGAGCUCGAUGAGUAGGGCGGGACACGUGAUAUCCUGUCUGAAGAUGGGGGGACCAUCCUCCAAGGCUAAAUACUCCUGACUGACCGAUAGUGAACCAGUACCGUGAGGGAAAGGCGAAAAGAACCCCGGCGAGGGGAGUGAAACAGAACCUGAAACCGUGUACGUACAAGCAGUGGGAGCCUUCGUAAGAGGGUGACUGCGUACCUUUUGUAUAAUGGGUCAGCGACUUAUAUUCUGUAGCAAGGUUAACCGUAUAGGGGAGCCGAAGGGAAACCGAGUCUUAAUUGGGCGUUAAGUUGCAGGGUAUAGACCCGAAACCCGGUGAUCUAGCCAUGGGCAGGUUGAAGGUUGGGUAACACUAACUGGAGGACCGAACCGACUAAUGUUGAAAAAUUAGCGGAUGACCUGUGGCUGGGGGUGAAAGGCCAAUCAAACCGGGAGAUAGCUGGUUCUCCCCGAAAGCUAUUUAGGUAGCGCCUCGUGAAUUCAUCUCCGGGGGUAGAGCACUGUUUCGGCUAGGGGGCCAUCCCGGCUUACCAACCCGAUGCAAACUGCGAAUACCGGAGAAUGUUAUCACGGGAGACACACGGCGGGUGCUAACGUCCGUCGUGAAGAGGGAAACAACCCAGACCGCCAGCUAAGGUCCCAAAGUCAUGGUUAAGUGGGAAACGAUGUGGGAAGGCCCAGACAGCCAGGAUGUUGGCUUAGAAGCAGCCAUCAUUUAAAGAAAGCGUAAUAGCUCACUGGUCGAGUCGGCCUGCGCGGAAGAUGUAACGGGGCUAAACCAUGCACCGAAGCUGCGGCAGCGACACUAUGUGUUGUUGGGUAGGGGAGCGUUCUGUAAGCCUGUGAAGGUGUGCUGUGAGGCAUGCUGGAGGUAUCAGAAGUGCGAAUGCUGACAUAAGUAACGAUAAAGCGGGUGAAAAGCCCGCUCGCCGGAAGACCAAGGGUUCCUGUCCAACGUUAAUCGGGGCAGGGUGAGUCGACCCCUAAGGCGAGGCCGAAAGGCGUAGUCGAUGGGAAACAGGUUAAUAUUCCUGUACUUGGUGUUACUGCGAAGGGGGGACGGAGAAGGCUAUGUCGGCCGGGCGACGGUUGUCCCGGUUUAAGCGUGUAGGCUGACUUUCCAGGCAAAUCCGGAAGGUUAAGGCUGAGGCGUGAUGACGAGGCACCACGGUGCUGAAGUGACAAAUGCCCUGCUUCCAGGAAAAGCCUCUAAGCAUCAGGUAACAUCAAAUCGUACCCCAAACCGACACAGGUGGUCAGGUAGAGAAUACCAAGGCGCUUGAGAGAACUCGGGUGAAGGAACUAGGCAAAAUGGUGCCGUAACUUCGGGAGAAGGCACGCUGACAUGUAGGUGAAGCCCCUGCGGGUGGAGCUGAAGUCAGUCGAAGAUACCAGCUGGCUGCAACUGUUUAUUAAAAACACAGCACUGUGCAAACACGAAAGUGGACGUAUACGGUGUGACGCCUGCCCGGUGCCGGAAGGUUAAUUGAUGGGGUUAUCGCAAGAGAAGCUCCUGAUCGAAGCCCCGGUAAACGGCGGCCGUAACUAUAACGGUCCUAAGGUAGCGAAAUUCCUUGUCGGGUAAGUUCCGACCUGCACGAAUGGCGUAAUGAUGGCCAGGCUGUCUCCACCCGAGACUCAGUGAAAUUGAACUCGCUGUGAAGAUGCAGUGUACCCGCGGCAAGACGGAAAGACCCCGUGAACCUUUACUACAGCUUGACACUGAACAUUGAGCCUUGAUGUGUAGGAUAGGUGGGAGGCUUUGAAGCGUGGACGCCAGUCUGCGUGGAGCCGACCUUGAAAUACCACCCUUUAAUGUUUGAUGUUCUAACCUGGCGCCGUGAUCCGGCGUGGGGACAGUGUCUGGUGGGUAGUUUGACUGGGGCGGUCUCCUCCCAAAGUGUAACGGAGGAGCACGAAGGUCAGCUAAUCCUGGUCGGACAUCAGGAGGUUAGUGCAAUGGCAUAAGCUGGCUUGACUGCGAGAGUGACGGCUCGAGCAGGUGCGAAAGCAGGUCAUAGUGAUCCGGUGGUUCUGUAUGGAAGGGCCAUCGCUCAACGGAUAAAAGGUACUCCGGGGAUAACAGGCUGAUACCGCCCAAGAGUUCAUAUCGACGGCGGUGUUUGGCACCUCGAUGUCGGCUCAUCACAUCCUGGGGCUGAAGUAGGUCCCAAGGGUAUGGCUGUUCGCCAUUUAAAGUGGUACGCGAGCUGGGUUUAGAACGUCGUGAGACAGUUCGGUCCCUAUCUGCCGUGGGCGCUGGAGAAUUGAGGGGGGCUGCUCCCAGUACGAGAGGACCGGAGUGGACGCAUCACUGGUGUUCGGGUUGUCAUGCCAAUGGCACUGCCCGGUAGCUAAAUGCGGAAGAGAUAAGUGCUGAAAGCAUCUAAGCACGAAACUUGCCCCGAGAUGAGUUCUCCCUGAGACUGUAAGUCUCCUGAAGGAACGUUGAAGACGACGACGUUGAUAGGCCGGGUGUGUAAGCGCAGCGAUGCGUUGAGCUAACCGGUACUAAUGAACCGUGAGGCUUAACCUUACAACGCCAAAGAAGU